ACGCACGCUGGCGGCGUGCUUCACACAUGCAAGUCGAACGGAAAGGCCUCUUUCGGGGGGUACUCGAGUGGCGAACGGGUGAGUAACACGUGAGUAACCUGCCCUUGACUUUGGGAUAACUUCAGGAAACUGGGGCUAAUACCGGAUAGGAGCUCCUGCUGCAUGGUGGGGGUUGGAAAGUUUCGGCGGUUGGGGAUGGACUCGCGGCUUAUCAGCUUGUUGGUGGGGUAGUGGCUUACCAAGGCUUUGACGGGUAGCCGGCCUGGGAGGGUGACCGGCCACAUUGGGACUGAGAUACGGCCCAGACUCCUACGGGAGGCAGCAGUGGGGAAUAUUGCACAAUGGGUGGAAGCCUGAUGCAGCAACGCCGUGUGCGGGAUGACGGCCUUCGGGUUGUAAACCGCUUUCGCUCAUGACGAAGCUUUGUGUGACGGUAGUGGGUAAAGAAGCACCGGCUAACUACGUG
rnacentral:rRNA from 1 species